GACGAACGCUGGCGGCGUGCUUAACACAUGCAAGUCGAACGGUGAAGCGCCUUCCUUUUGGGUUGGUGGGGAGGGGGGGGGAACGGGGUGGGAACACGAGCGUAACCUGCCCUUUCCUGCGGGAUAACGGCAGGAAAGUGUGGCUAAUACGGGAUAUGCUGUGCCGGUGGCAGGAUGGGUUUGUGGAAGCUUUUGUUUCGGUGGGGGAUGGGCUCGCGGCGUAUCGGGUUGUUGGUGGGGGGAUGGCCUACCAAGGCGGUGCCGGGCAGCCGGCCUGAGAGGGUGGACGGUCACACUGGUGCUGAGACACGGACCAGACUCCGACGGGCAGCAGCGGUGGAGAAUAUAGCACAGUGGGCGCAAGCCUGAUGCCGCGCCGCCGCGUGGGAGAUGGCGGCCUGCUGGUUGUGAACCUCUUUCGCGAGUGAAGCGGGCCUGCCUAGUUUGUGGGUGGGCUGACGGUAGCUGGAGAAGAAGCGCCGGCUAACUACGUG
rnacentral:rRNA from 1 species